rnacentral:rRNA from 1 species
AUUGAACGCUGGCGGCAGGCCUAACACAUGCAAGUCGAACGAGGGGCGGACGGGUGAGUAAUGUAUGGGGAACUGCCUGAUGGAGGGGGAUAACUCCUGGAAACCGUAGCUACUACCGCAUACCAUCAGAUGUGCCCAGAUGGGAUUAGCUAGGAGGUGGGGUAACGGCUCACCUAGGCGACGAUCCCUAGCUGGUCUGAGAGGAUGACCAGCCACACUGGAACUGAGACACGGUCCAGACUCCUACGGGAGGCAGCAGUGGGGAAUAUUGCACAAUGGGCGCAAGCCUGAUGCAGCCAUGCCGCGUGUAUGAAGAAGGCCUUCGGGUUGUAAAGUACUUUCAGCGGGGAGGCGUUACUCGCAGAAGAAGCACCGGCUAACUCCGUGCCAGCAGCCGCGGUAAUUC